AUUAUUUAAUUUUUAACUAGGUAUUUCUUCAAAAGUGGUUCACCUGAACAUCCAGAUGACAUUCUUAUUAAUGCGUCCGUCCAUGUGCUCCCAGCUGUCACUCCAAAGAUACCAGAGCUUAUUCCAUAUCCCAACACAUCUGAUAGGUUCCUAAUGGUUGGUGGCUUCACUGACGCAUCUGGUGUUGCUGAAGGAUCUAUUAUACCUACUGUAGGCCCUGUGAAGAUGUUACGGAUAUACAUUGAGGAGGAGAUGGAUCACUGGGUGGCUUUAAGUGAGAUUAUUUUAGAAGCAGCGCCCAUGCAAGCUCUCAUGGCGUCCGUCUAUAAUAUCAGCUAUAUAUUCGCUUCCUCUUCACAUAACAAUAUAUCUGGAUCCCCAUAACAUCCAGGAAAGUAUGUCUGUAAAUGUGUGAGGCGCUUUAAGAAGAAAGAGAUGGAACUGACUUUUUUACAGCGCAUGAGGAAUGCUUCAUCAUUUCAAGGGAGUGCCGACAGCUGCCUUCUGCAAAGAUUUCUAUUAAAUGAAUAUGCAUUAUGUAUACUCGCAAGUUUGUUCGGAAUCUGGAAGAAAAAUUGUGCCUCGAAACUUCAAAUGUAUGUAUCAGCCUCUUGCUAGAUGCAAGUAAGAGCAGGGCACUGGAAUAGAACAGCUGUUCAGGCCCCUUUACAGGUAUCUGCCUAUAAUCAUCAGUCACCUCGAAACUUGCAAGACAUCACUAUACCAUCAAACAUAAAUAAACAACUUUUAAAUUUUUCCAAUAUUGGAAGUAAACUGAAGUUCCUGUGAUAAACCACAAGAAAUGUACAUGCCAUGUGACCGAAUAAAUAAAAUAUGUAUCUUAAAAAGGUUGAGUGUUUUUCCUACGCAUGUGAACAAUCCUUUUAUUCCUUUUCUUUUUAUUGUAUGCACAUAA